rnacentral:rRNA from 1 species
AACGAACGCUGGCGGCAUGCCUAACACAUGCAAGUCGAACGAGACCUUCGGGUCUAGUGGCGCACGGGUGCGUAACGCGUGGGAACCUGCCCUUAGGUUCGGAAUAACUCCCCGAAAGGGGUGCUAAUACCGGAUAAUGUCUUCGGGCCAAAGAUUUAUCGCCUUUGGAUGGGCCCGCGUUGGAUUAGCUAGUUGGUAGGGUAAAAGCCUACCAAGGCGACGAUCCAUAGCUGGUCUGAGAGGAUGAUCAGCCACACUGGGACUGAGACACGGCCCAGACUCCUACGGGAGGCAGCAGUGGGGAAUAUUAGACAAUGGGCGAAAGCCUGAUCCAGCAAUGCCGCGUGAGUGAUGAAGGCCUUAGGGUUGUAAAGCUCUUUUACCCGGGAUGAUAAUGACAGUACCGGGAGAAUAAGCCCCGGCUAACUCCGUG